rnacentral:rRNA from 1 species
GACGAACGCUGGCGGCGUGCUUAACACAUGCAAGUCGAACGGAAAGGCCCUGCUUUUGUGGGGUGCUCGAGUGGCGAACGGGUGAGUAACACGUGAGUAACCUGCCCUUUACUUUGGGAUAACUUCAGGAAACUGGGGCUAAUACCGGAUAGGAGCUCCUGCUGCAUGGUGGGGGUUGGAAAGUUUCGGCGGUUGGGGAUGGACUCGCGGCUUAUCAGCUUGUUGGUGGGGUAGUGGCUUACCAAGGCUUUGACGGGUAGCCGGCCUGAGAGGGGGACCGGCCACAUUGGGACUGAGAUACGGCCCAGACUCCUACGGGAGGCAGCAGUGGGGAAUAUUGCACAAUGGGCGGAAGCCUGAUGAAGAAACGCCGCGUGCGGGAUGACGGCCUUCGGGUUGUAAACCGCUUUCGCCUGUGACGAAGCGUGAGUGACGGUAAUGGGUAAAGAAGCACCGGCUAACUACGUG